rnacentral:tRNA from 1 species
GACGAGGUGUGAUAAUGGUAGUCGGCCAGCCUGGAAAGUUGGUGCUCACGUACGUGGGUUGUGGGUUCAAGUCCCAUCCUCGUCGCUA